rnacentral:rRNA from 1 species
GAUGAACGCUGGCGGCGUGCCUAAUACAUGCAAGUCGAGCGAACAGAUGAGGAGCUUGCUCCUCUGACGUUAGCGGCGGACGGGUGAGUAACACGUGGAUAACCUACCUAUAAGACUGGGAUAACUUCGGGAAACCGGAGCUAAUACCGGAUAAUAUAUUUAACCGCAUGGUUCAAUAGUGAAAGACGGUAUUGCUGUCACUUAUAGAUGGAUCCGCGCCGCAUUAGCUAGUUGGUAAGGUAACGGCUUACCAAGGCAACGAUGCGUAGCCGACCUGAGAGGGUGAUCGGCCACACUGGAACUGAGACACGGUCCAGACUCCUACGGGAGGCAGCAGUAGGGAAUCUUCCGCAAUGGGCGAAAGCUUGACGGAGCAACGCCGCGUGAGUGAUGAAGGUCUUCGGAUCGUAAAACUCUGUUAUUAGGGAAGAACAAAUGUGUAAGUAACUAUGCACGUCUUGACGGUACCUAAUCAGAAAGCCACGGCUAACUACGUG